AAUCAAUUGAGAUUCCCUCAGUAGCGGCGAGCGAACGGGGAUCAGCCCAUUAAGUUAUGUGUGUUUUAGUGGAACGCUCUGGGAAGUGCGAACGUAGAGGGUGAUAUUCCCGUACACGAAAGGGCACACAUAAUGAUGACGAGUAGGGCGAGGCACGUGAAACCUUGUCUGAAUAUGGGGGGACCAUCCUCCAAGGCUAAAUACUCCUGACUGACCGAUAGUGAACCAGUACCGUGAGGGAAAGGCGAAAAGAACCCCUGUGAGGGGAGUGAAAUAGAUCCUGAAACCGCAUGCAUACAAGCAGUGGGAGCACCUUCGUGGUGUGACUGCGUACCUUUUGUAUAAUGGGUCAGCGACUUAUAUUCAGUAGCGAGGUUAACCGUAUAGGGGAGCCGUAGAGAAAUCGAGUCUUAAUAGGGCGUUUAGUUGCUGGGUAUAGACCCGAAACCAGGCGAUCUAUCCAUGAGCAGGUUGAAGGUUGGGUAACACUAACUGGAGGACCGAACCCACUGUCGUUGAAAAGCCAGGGGAUGACUUGUGGAUAGGGGUGAAAGGCUAAUCAAGCCUGGUGAUAGCUGGUUCUCCCCGAAAGCUAUUUAGGUAGCGCCUCGGACGAAUACCAUAGGGGGUAGAGCACUGUUUCGGCUAGGGGGUCAUCCCGACUUACCAAACCGAUGCAAACUCCGAAUACCUAUGAGUACUAUCCGGGAGACAGACUGCGGGUGCUAACGUCCGUAGUCAAGAGGAAAACAAUCCAGACCGCCAGCUAAGGCCCCAAAAUCAUAGUUAAGUGGGAAACGAUGUGGGAAGGCAUAGACAGCUAGGAGGUUGGCUUAGAAGCAGCCACCCUUUAAAGAAAGCGUAAUAGCUCACUAGUCGAGUCGGCCUGCGCGGAAGAUGUAACGGGGCUAAAACUAUGUGCCGAAGCUGCGGAUGUAUACUUUGUAUACGUGGUAGGGGAGCGUUCUGUAAGCCGAUGAAGGUGUGUUGAGAAGCAUGCUGGAGGUAUCAGAAGUGCGAAUGCUGACGUGAGUAACGACAAAACGGGUGAAAAACCCGUUCGCCGAAAGACCAAGGGUUCCAGUCCAACGUUAAUCGGGGCUGGGUGAGUCGACCCCUAAGGCGAGGCCGAAAGGCGUAGUCGAUGGGAAAAUGGUUAAUAUUCCAUUACUUCUGUGUAAUGCGAUGAGAGGACGGAGAAGGCUAAAUCAGCCUGGCGUUGGUUGUCCAGGUGAAAGGAUGUAGGCAUGUAUCUUAGGCAAAUCCGGGGUACUCUAUGCUGAGAUCUGAUAGCAAGCUGUACUUGUACAGCGAAGUGGUUGAUGCCAUGCUUCCAGGAAAAGUCUCUAAGCUUCAGUUACACAGGAAUCGUACCCGAAACCGACACAGGUGGUCAGGUCGAGUAGACCAAGGCGCUUGAGAGAACUCUGCUGAAGGAACUAGGCAAAAUGGUACCGUAACUUCGGGAGAAGGUACGCUGUUGUUGGUGAUGGAACUCGCUUCCUGAGCUGACGACAGCCGCAGAAACCAGGCCGCUGCAACUGUUUAUUAAAAACAUAGCACUCUGCAAACACGAAAGUGGACGUAUAGGGUGUGAUGCCUGCCCGGUGCUGGAAGGUUAAUUGAUGGGGUUAGCGUAAGCGAAGCUCUUGAUCGAAGCCCCAGUAAACGGCGGCCGUAACUAUAACGGUCCUAAGGUAGCGAAAUUCCUUGUCGGGUAAGUUCCGACCUGCACGAAUGGCAUAAUGAUGGCGGCGCUGUCUCCAGCAGAGGCUCAGUGAAAUCGAAAUCGCUGUGAAGAUGCAGUGUACCCGCGGCUAGACGGAAAGACCCCGUGAACCUUUACUGCAGCUUGACACUGAACUUUGACCUUACUUGUGUAGGAUAGGUGGGAGGCUUUGAAGCUGGAACGCUAGUUCCAGUGGAGCCGUCCUUGAAAUACCACCCUGGUAAUGUUGAGGUUCUAACUCUGUCCCGUGAUCCGGGACGAGGACCGUGUCUGGUGGGUAGUUUGACUGGGGCGGUCUCCUCCUAAAGAGUAACGGAGGAGUACGAAGGUGCGCUCAGCGUGGUCGGAAAUCACGCGUAGAGUAUAAAGGCAAAAGCGCGCUUAACUGCGAGACCCACAAGUCGAGCAGGUACGAAAGUAGGUCUUAGUGAUCCGGUGGUUCUGUAUGGAAGGGCCAUCGCUCAACGGAUAAAAGGUACUCUGGGGAUAACAGGCUGAUACCGCCCAAGAGUUCAUAUCGACGGCGGUGUUUGGCACCUCGAUGUCGGCUCAUCUCAUCCUGGGGCUGAAGCAGGUCCCAAGGGCAUGGCUGUUCGCCAUUUAAAGAGGUACGCGAGCUGGGUUUAGAACGUCGUGAGACAGUUCGGUCCCUAUCUACCGUGGGCGCUGGAAAUUUGAGAGGAUCUGCUCCUAGUACGAGAGGACCAGAGUGGACGAACCUCUGGAGUACCGGUUGUGACGCCAGUCGCAUCGCCGGGUAGCUAUGUUCGGAAGGGAUAACCGCUGAAAGCAUCUAAGCGGGAAGCCUACCUCAAGAUAAGAUUUCCCUAGGACUUUAUGUCCUCUAAAGAGCCGUUCGAGACUAGGACGUUGAUAGGUUGGAUGUGGAAGCAUAGUGAUAUGUGAAGCUGACCAAUACUAAUUGCUCGUGAGGCUUGACUA
rnacentral:rRNA from 1 species